CGUUAGAUCACAAACAGCCAAGACGGACAGAAUCGAGUUUAUGCCAGUUUAUGCUGAUGCUAAUGUGUUUAUCAUACGCUUCUGCCUUGGAGAUUAUUUGUCUUUUUACAAAAAACAAGAUAUUGGCCCAACAGUCAAGACUCAAGUAAAGACAGGAAAAGCAA